rnacentral:rRNA from 1 species
AUAAUGGGUCAGCGACUUAUAUUCUGUAGCAAGGUUAACCGAAUAGGGGAGCCGAAGGGAAACCGAGUCUUAACUGGGCGUUAAGUUGCAGGGUAUAGACCCGAAACCCGGUGAUCUAGCCAUGGGCAGGUUGAAGGUUGGGUAACACUAACUGGAGGACCGAACCGACUAAUGUUGAAAAAUUAGCGGAUGACUUGUGGCUGGGGGUGAAAGGCCAAUCAAACCGGGAGAUAGCUGGUUCUCCCCGAAAGCUAUUUAGGUAGCGCCUCGUGAAUUCAUCUCCGGGGGUAGAGCACUGUUUCGGCAAGGGGGUCAUCCCGACUUACCAACCCGAUGCAAACUGCGAAUACCGGAGAAUGUUAUCACGGGAGACACACGGCGGGUGCUAACGUCCGUCGUGAAGAGGGAAACAACCCAGACCGCCAGCUAAGGUCCCAAAGUCAUGGUUAAGUGGGAAACGAUGUGGGAAGGCCCAGACAGCCAGGAUGUUGGCUUAGAAGCAGCCAUCAUUUAAAGAAAGCGUAAUAGCUCACUGGUCGAGUCGGCCUGCGCGGAAGAUGUAACGGGGCUAAACCAUGCACCGAAGCUGCGGCAGCGACACUGUGUGUUGUUGGGUAGGGGAGCGUUCUGUAAGCCUGCGAAGGUGUGCUGUGAGGCAUGCUGGAGGUAUCAGAAGUGCGAAUGCUGACAUAAGUAACGAUAAAGCGGGUGAAAAGCCCGCUCGCCGGAAGACCAAGGGUUCCUGUCCAACGUUAAUCGGGGCAGGGUGAGUCGACCCCUAAGGCGAGGCCGAAAGGCGUAGUCGAUGGGAAACAGGUUAAUAUUCCUGUACUUGGUGUUACUGCGAAGGGGGGACGGAGAAGGCUAUGUUGGCCGGGCGACGGUUGUCCCGGUUUAAGCGUGUAGGCUGGUUUUCCAGGCAAAUCCGGAAAAUCAAGGCUGAGGCGUGAUGACGAGGCACUACGGUGCUGAAGCAACAAAUGCCCUGCUUCCAGGAAAAGCCUCUAAGCAUCAGGUAACAUCAAAUCGUACCCCAAACCGACACAGGUGGUCAGGUAGAGAAUACCAAGGCGCUUGAGAGAACUCGGGUGAAGGAACUAGGCAAAAUGGUGCCGUAACUUCGGGAGAAGGCACGCUGAUAUGUAGGUGAAGUCCCUCGCGGAUGGAGCUGAAAUCAGUCGAAGAUACCAGCUGGCUGCAACUGUUUAUUAAAAACACAGCACUGUGCAAACACGAAAGUGGACGUAUACGGUGUGACGCCUGCCCGGUGCCGGAAGGUUAAUUGAUGGGGUCAGCGCAAGCGAAGCUCUUGAUCGAAGCCCCGGUAAACGGCGGCCGUAACUAUAACGGUCCUAAGGUAGCGAAAUUCCUUGUCGGGUAAGUUCCGACCUGCACGAAUGGCGUAAUGAUGGCCAGGCUGUCUCCACCCGAGACUCAGUGAAAUUGAACUCGCUGUGAAGAUGCAGUGUACCCGCGGCAAGACGGAAAGACCCCGUGAACCUUUACUAUAGCUUGACACUGAACAUUGAGCCUUGAUGUGUAGGAUAGGUGGGAGGCUUUGAAGUGUGGACGCCAGUCUGCAUGGAGCCGACCUUGAAAUACCACCCUUUAAUGUUUGAUGUUCUAACGUUGACCCGUGAUCCGGGUUGCGGACAGUGUCUGGUGGGUAGUUUGACUGGGGCGGUCUCCUCCUAAAGAGUAACGGAGGAGCACGAAGGUUGGCUAAUCCUGGUCGGACAUCAGGAGGUUAGUGCAAUGGCAUAAGCCAGCUUGACUGCGAGCGUGACGGCGCGAGCAGGUGCGAAAGCAGGUCAUAGUGAUCCGGUGGUUCUGAAUGGAAGGGCCAUCGCUCAACGGAUAAAAGGUACUCCGGGGAUAACAGGCUGAUACCGCCCAAGAGUUCAUAUCGACGGCGGUGUUUGGCACCUCGAUGUCGGCUCAUCACAUCCUGGGGCUGAAGUAGGUCCCAAGGGUAUGGCUGUUCGCCAUUUAAAGUGGUACGCGAGCUGGGUUUAGAACGUCGUGAGACAGUUCGGUCCCUAUCUGCCGUGGGCGCUGGAGAACUGAGGGGGGCUGCUCCUAGUACGAGAGGAC